UGCACCAUUUAUAUAUGUGAGUACUAAUGUUAUUUUAUAAUUGAUCGAUUAGUGUCCAAGACAAGGAGGGUUCGAAUGUGGCUACUUUGUUAUGAGAUUCAUUAAAGAGAUAAUUUUUUAUCCUACAAUUAUUGCUUCAAAGGUAUUACUUAUUAAAUGAAUUGUACAUAGUUUUAGGCUUCCAAAUGUUAUGCAUUUUAAUGUUAUUUUCUUAUUUGAUUUCAGUUUUGUGAUAAAAAAAAACAUAUUCUCAAGUAGAAUUAUAUUUCCAUUUAUUCAUUAGAAGAAGCACCCUUCGAUGAAAUUAGAGGAGAAUGGGCUACUUUUGUGCUACAACUAAUCAUGAAUCAUGUUAAUGCAUCAUGAUCACCAUGCAUGGUAUACACUCUUGGGAUGGUGAAAUGGAGAAUAAAAAGAAAGAAGAAGGCAACAAGAUUUUGGGUUUUUAAAUGCAACUCUUAUGUUAUACGUUGUAGGACAUAAACGUUACUUUAAUUGCAACUGAGAAAUUUAGAUUUUUAGAUGGGACUUUUAUGUCAUUUUAUGGUUAGCCGGUUUUAUGCUUAGGAAAUGGAGGUAUACAUGAAUCUUGGGAUCUUUAACAUUUCUAAAUCAUGUUUUGGUAUGUAUUCACUCUUCUUUUUUAGUUUUGAUGGGUUUGAUAUGUUGGACGUACUAUCCUUUUGUGAACAUUUGAUAUACAAAUAUUAUUAGAUGAUCAAUGUAUUAUGAGUUA